rnacentral:rRNA from 1 species
AUCAUUUGUUAGCAAUUAUACCGUGAAACUGCGAAUGGCUCAUUAAAUCAGUUAUCGUUUAUUUGAUAAUACCUUACUACUUGGAUAACCGUGGUAAUUCUAGAGCUAAUACAUGCUGAAAAUCCCGACUUCGGAAGGGAUGUGUUUAUUAGAUAAAAAACCAAUGCCCUUCGGGGCUUUUUGGUGAUUCAUGAUAACUUUACGGAUCGCAUAGCCUUGCGCUGGCGACGGUUCAUUCAAAUUUCUGCCCUAUCAACUUUCGAUGGUAAGGUAUUGGCUUACCAUGGUUUCAACGGGUAACGGGGAAUUAGGGUUCGAUUCCGGAGAGGGAGCCUGAGAAACGGCUACCACAUCCAAGGAAGGCAGCAGGCGCGCAAAUUACCCAAUCCCGACACGGGGAGGUAGUGACAAUAAAUACUGAUACAGGGCUCUUUUGGGUCUUGUAAUUGGAAUGAGUACAAUUUAAACCUCUUAACGAGGAACAAUUGGAGGGCAAGUCUGGUGCCAGCAGCCGCGGUAAUUCCAGCUCCAAUAGCGUAUAUUAAAGUUGUUGCAGUUAAAAAGCUCGUAGUUGAAACUUGGGCCUGGCUGGCGGGUCCGCCUCACCGCGUGCACUCGUCCGGCCGGGCCUUCCUUCUGAAGAACCUCAUGCCCUUCACUGGGCGUGCUGGGGAAUCAGGACUUUUACUUUGAAAAAAUUAGAGUGUUCAAAGCAGGCCUUUGCUCGAAUACGUUAGCAUGGAAUAAUAAAAUAGGGCGUGCGUUUCUAUUUUGUUGGUUUCUAGAGACGCCGCAAUGAUUAACAGGAACAGUCGGGGGCAUCAGUAUUCAGUUGUCAGAGGUGAAAUUCUUGGAUUUACUGAAGACUAACUACUGCGAAAGCAUUUGCCAAGGAUGUUUUCAUUAAUCAGUGAACGAAAGUUAGGGGAUCGAAGACGAUCAGAUACCGUCGUAAUCUUAACCGUAACUAUGCCGACUAGGGAUCGGGCGAUGUUCUUUUCUGACUCCCUCGGA